rnacentral:rRNA from 1 species
CCUGAGAAACCCAAAAGAUCGAAAGGGGAGAUUCAUCGUCAGCGAUUUUGGUACGUGUGCGGCUCGCGAUGCCGCGGGCCUCGGUCCGCAGGCACGCGUCCGCAUGUUUUUUAUUGCCUCGAUCGUCGGCGUGCACUUCUCCCCUAGUAGGACGUCGCGACCCGUUGGGUGUCGGUCUACGGCCCGGGUGGUAGCCUGUCUCGUGUGCGCUUCGCGGCGUUACGCGGUUCAGACCCCCGGUCGCCCGACCGGCUGCUCGGCGGUACUCGCACGGUAUCUGGCCGCAACCAUUCGAACUGCGUCCGGCCGUCGCAAGCGAGGCAAGUGUUUUCCCGGUUGUACGGAUCCAAUGCCGUCACCGGGCCUUGCCAGCUGUUGGCUGACGGUGUCCUAGGACUGGCUAAUACAAUUUAUGAUACCGGUCGGCGACGCUACUGCUUUGGGUACUUUCAGGACCCGUCUUGAAACACGGACCAAGGAGUCUAACAUGUGCGCGAGUCAUUGGGAACUAUU